rnacentral:rRNA from 1 species
GCAAGAUACCACGGGCGCACGGCGGAUGCCUUGGCACAGGGAGCCGAUGAAGGACGCGGCAAGCUGCGAUAAUCCCCGGCGAGGAGCACACAUCCUUCGACCCGGGGGUCUCCGAAUGGGCGAACCCAUGCACAGCAGUGUGCAUAUCCCCCCGCUGAACACAUAGGCGGGGGGAGGACAACCCGGGGAACUGAAACAUCUAAGUACCCGGAGGAGAGGAAAUCAAUCUCGAGACUCCCCGAGUAGCGGCGAGCGAAAGGGGACCGAUGGCCAAACCGUCGAGCGGGCAUACCCGGCAGGGGUUCCGCCGACGGGGUUGCAGGGCCGCGCAUCCGGGGGCUGCCGCCCCCGGGCGCAGGUCCGGCUGGGGAGCGGAACGGCAUGGGAGGGCCGGCCGCAGCGGGUGACAGCCCCGUACGCGAACCCAGACCGGACGGCGCGACGCGGUCCCUGAGUAGGGCCGGGCACGUGAAACCCGGUCCGAACCUGGGUGGACCACCAUCCAAGCCUGAGUACUACCCUGUGACCGAUAGCGCACCAGUACCGUGAGGGAAAGGUGAAAAGCACCCCGGGAGGGGAGUGAAACAGUACCUGAAACCGUGCGCCCACGAGCAGUCGGAGCACCUUUAUGGUGUGACGGCGUGCCUUUUGUAGAAUGAGCCAGCGAGUCGCUGGCGCGGGGCGAGGUUAACCGAAAGGGAGCCGGAGCGAAAGCGAGCCUUAACAGGGCGACUUGAGUCCCGCGCCGCGGACGCGAAGCCGGGUGAGCUAUCCGUGGGCAGGCUGAAGCGGGGGUAAGACCCCGUGGAGGGCCGAACGCACGUCGGUUGAAAACGGCGGCGAUGACCUGCGGAUAGGGGUGAAAGGCCAAUCAAACCCGGAGAUAUCUCGUUCUCCCCGAAAUAGCUUUAGGGCUAGCGUCGCGCGUUCACCGCCGGAGGUAGAGCACCGGAUGGACGAGGGGGCUUCGCCGCCUACCGAAUCCAACCGAACUCCGAAUGCCGGCGGCCCAGAGCGCGGCAGUCAGAGCAUGUGGGCUAAGCUGUGUGCUCGAGAGGGAAACAGCCCGGACCGCCCGCUAAGGUCCCCAAGUUCCAGCCGAGUGGCAAAGGAUGUGCGUCCGCCCAGACAACCAGGAUGUUGGCUUAGAAGCAGCCAUCCAUUCAAAGAGUGCGUAACAGCUCACUGGUCGAGUGGACAUGCGCCGACAAUACACGGGGCUAAGCUGGACACCGAAGCGGCGGGAUUUUAAUUCAUUAGAAUCGGUAGGGGAGCUUCCCAUGGGCGGAGAAGCCGGAGGGCGACCGACGGUGGAGCGCAUGGGAGUGAGAAUGCUGGCAUGAGUAGCGAGAGACGAGAGAGUAACUCGUCCGCCGUGAACCCGAGGUUUCCUGGGCAAGGCUAAUCCUCCCAGGGUCAGUCGGGGGCUAAGGCGAGGCCGGUAGGCGUAGCCGACGCGCAGCAGGCAGACAUUCCUGCACCGCGCACGCGGCGCUACGACCGACGGGGCGACGGAUGGGGGUGGCUCGGCGGGGUUCUGGACGUCCCCGUGAUGGAGCGCGGCCCGCGGACCAGGGAAAUCCGGUCCGCAGAAGGGCGAGGCUCCGGACGAAGCGACUGAGCGAAGCGAGUGAGCCCGAGGUCCCUAGAAAAACCCCUAGGCAGGCGCGUGCGCGCCCGUACCGCAAACCGACACAGGUGGGUGGGUAGAACAUACCGAGGCGAUCGGGUCAACCAUGGUCAAGGAACUCGGCACAAUGGCCCCGUAACUUCGGGAGAAGGGGUGCCCGCGCGUACGUGAACCGGCUUGCCCGGGGAGCGGAGGCGGGCCGCAGUGGAGAGGCCCAAGCGACUGUUUACCAAAAACACAGGACUCUGCAGAAGCCGCAAGGCGACGUAUAGGGUCUGACGCCUGCCCGGUGCCGGAAGGUCACGCGGAGGAGUUAGCCGAUUCGGCGAAGCCCCGAAGCCAAGCCCCGGUAAACGGCGGCCGUAACUAUAACGGUCCUAAGGUAGCGAAAUUCCUUGUCGGGU